UUGUUGUUAGUGUGGCUGUUGCCUGAAUAUCCUUCUUUGUUGUGUGUGCUGCGUCUGGAGGUUGUCCAGCCGCAAUGUAUGUUCUUUCUUGCUCGGUCGCACAGUCUCUCCAAGAAGAGUGACUGAUCUUGGUCUGCCAGAUGCUCUGACGAGCACCCAACCCUCAUUAAUGAUCCUUCCGCAGGUUCACCUACGGAAA
rnacentral:misc_RNA from 1 species